GUGUCAGCCGCCGCGGUAAUACGUAGGGUCCAAGCGUUAAUCGGAAUUACUGGGCGUAAAGCGUGCGCAGGCGGUUUCGUAAGCCAGACGUGAAAUCCCCGGGCUUAACCUGGGAACUGCGUUUGGGACUGCGAGGCUGGAGUGCGGCAGAGGGAGGUGGAAUUCCACAUGUAGCAGUGAAAUGCGUAGAUAUGUGGAGGAACACCGAUGGCGAAGGCAGCCUCCUGGGCUAGCACUGACGCUCAUGCACGAAAGCGUGGGGAGCAAACAGGAUUAGAAACCCUAGUAGUCC
rnacentral:rRNA from 1 species